AAAAAACAAAAGAAAAGUAACAAAAAGAGAAAAAAUGAAAAGAAAAAAAGAAAAAAUGAACAAAAAAGAGUAAAAAGAGAAAAAAAUGAAAAAAAGAGAAAAAAGAGAAAAGAAAAAAAGAACAUGAACAAAAAAGAGAAAAAAAGAAAAAAAAUGAAAAAAAGAGAAAAAAGAGAAAAGAAAAAAAGAACAUGAACAAAAAAGAGAAAAAAGUGAAAAGAUAAAAAAAGAAAAAAGAUAAAGAAAAGAGA
ensembl:lncRNA